rnacentral:rRNA from 1 species
UACAGAGGGUGCAAGCGUUGUUCGGAAUUACUGGGCGUAAAGCGCGCGCAGGCGGUCUUCCAAGUCAGUGGUGAAAGCCCGGAGCUCAACUCCGGAAUUGCCAUUGAAACUGUUAGACUUGAGGAUGAGAGAGGUGAGUGGAAUUCCCAGUGUAGAGGUGAAAUUCGUAGAUAUUGGGAAGAACACCGGUGGCGAAGGCGGCUCACUGGCUCAUUACUGACGCUCAGGCGCGAUAGCGUGGGGAUCAAACAGG